AAGUGUGUCUGGGCACAAGGCACUCUUCAGAGCUGGAGAGAAGACAUCCCAGCGAUUGGACAAGGGCCAUGCAGAGGAACCUGGGAGCUGUGCUAGGGAUUCUGUGGGUGCAGAUUUGCUGGGUGAGAGGAGACGAGGUAAAGCAGAGUCCUUCAGCCCUGAGUCUCCACGAGGGAACCGGUUCUACUCUGAGAUGCAAUUUUUCUACCACCAUGAGGAGCGUGCAGUGGUUCCGGCAGAAUCCCAGCGGCAGCCUCGUCAAUCUGUUCAUCUUGGCUUCAGGAACAAAGGAGAAUGUGAGGUUAAAAUCGACAUUUGAUUCUAAGGAGCGAUACAGCACCCUGCACAUCAGGGAUGCCCAGCUGGAGGACUCGGGCACCUACCUCUGUGCGGCUGAGCCACAGUGCUCCCAGUAAGCCUGCAGCCUGGCCCCAAACUGCAGCUGGGCGUGCAGCUACAGACGCCCCCGCCCCCGCCUUCCACAGCUGGGGCUUCAUCAGAUCUCCACAGAGUAUUGAGAAGCUGUGAGGAAUUAUAAAAAUAGCACUGCAGAUCACACUUACAUUCUGACAUGACACCGACCUCUAGAAUGCCAAAUGCUCAGAAAUACCACCCCACGUGAUGAAAUAUGUCAUUUUUGUCAUAUGCUUGUGCUAAUGUCAUUAGAAUAUAAACUCUCUUACAUAUUUGAGAAUCAUCUGGGUCAAUUCUCAAAAUUUGAAACUGAGAGCAACUGUUUUCAGCCUUUGUUUAAAGAGCACCAGACAACACUUUUAGCUAA